UGCAAACUGCGGGGCAGCGGCCAGGGUAAGACAGAGGGGGCAAGCGGUAAUCGGAAUUACGGGGCGGAAAGCGGGCGGAGGGGGUGAUGUAAGUCGGGUGGGAAAGCCGCGGGCUCAACCGGGGAAGGGCAUUCAGGACUGGAUAGCGAGGGGGUGGAAGAGGGAAGCGGAAUUUCCGGUGUAGCGGUGAAAUGCGUAGAUAUCGGAAGGAACACCAGUGGCGAAAGCGGCUACCUGGUCUAGCACUGACGCUCAGGUACGAAAGCGUGGGGAGCAAACAGGAUUAGAUACCCUUGUAGUC
rnacentral:rRNA from 1 species